rnacentral:misc_RNA from 1 species
CUUGAUUAGAUUGAAAUUGUAUUUAAAUAUGCGUUUUUACGUUUUAAACAAAAUGAAAAAGGUACAGAAAAAAAUAAAACAAAAAAUAAAUAAAUAAAAUAAUAACCUAUAAUUACAGGCAUGAAACGAAACGUUCAAUGACAGGGAUUGACACGUAGUAAUCGGCCAAAAUAAACAAUCGUAACGGCCAUCUUGUAAAUCGCGUCAACUCACUGACUCGAGAUAUCUCAAUCAGUACAAAGCAAUUUACAUACGAGUCCGCCAUGCAGUACCGAUCGGAUCAAUCACAAUUCAAUAAGCCUUAAUAAUGUACUGUACAACAAAAAUCAAAUUACACUUACAUCGUGCACAAAAUUUUUCUGGCUUUGCUGGCAAUGUAAAAUAUAUUCUUUCAAUUUUAAUUUAUAUUUGAGAAAACUUUGUGUAUUCCUAAUUGGUGGGGGUAUGUUGUUCCAGCACCUGGAGGCAGCAUAGCGGAAGCUGCCCCUGAAAGAGGCUGUCUUGUGCUUUUGUACUACAAGUUGUAUGGAACAUUGUCGCGAUUCACAAGUCCUAUGGCUUGACAUCCAAAUGAGCUUUUCAUACAAAUAUGACGGCUCCUUACGCCUUAAAAGAUCGAAAAGAAGACAAGCUAAGUGAAAUUUGCGACGGUGUUUCAUUUUUAAAAUUGAGUGUACAUUUAAGUAAGGAGUAACGUGUUCUCUAAAGGGAAUAUCGAAGCAGAAGCGAGCACAGGCAUUCUGGAUUCUCUGUACAAGUCUCUGUGUUUUGGCGGUCAAACGAGGUCCAUAUACAAUAUCUGUGUAAUUCAACUUGGACAAUAUCAGUGACUCAGUAAGGCGAAUACGUAAAUCUACUCCCAGCCUUAAUAUUUGAGAUUUUGUGCCACAAAUCAUAUAUUUGGAUUUAUUUGGAUUUAAAACUAAGCUAUUCCUCUUGGACCAUAGCACAAUCCGAUUCAGAUCUUCAUUUAGUCUAUCAAUUGCAAUGUCAAUAUCAGAUGGUUUGCAAGAGAUAUAUAUUUGGGUGUCAUCAGCAUAAAAAUGAUAUCUACAGUGCAUUAUAUGAUCUUUCAUGUCUGCUGAGUACAAUAAAAAUAAUAUGGGUCCCAAAAUAGAGCCCUGCGGCACACCUUUGGAUAUUGCCAUUCUAUCUGAGAUGAGCGAGGAACCAUCAUGCUUAGUUAUUUUGACAUACUGAUAGCGUUCACUGAGAUAACUAUGAAACCAUUGUAUGGCAUUACUGUCAAAACCGUAAUAGCUCAAUUUGGACAGGAGGAGAUUUAUAUUCAAGGAAUCGAAAGCCCGUGAGAAGUCAAGCAAUACGAGGAGAGUGCACAUGCCCUGAUCCUGUGAUUGUAAAAUAUUGUCAGUCACAUCAAGCAGUGCUGUGACAGUACUGCGACCCCUUCUAAAACCUGACUGGACCUCUGGUAACAUAUGGUUUUUUUCUAAGUAAACUGUUAUUUGCUUCGAUACUGACUUUUCAAGUAUCUUCGAUAGGCAUGGCAAAAUACUUAUUGGCCUCAGAUCCUUAAGAUCUGUGGGGUUUGAAAUUUUAGGGAGCGGUCGCACCACUGCCGUUUUCCAAACAUCUGGAUAGGUUGAAGUUAGAAUAGACGCAUUCACUAUAGAAGUGAUGGUUUCCAAUGUAUCCGGCAUCGUUAGCAAAAGCAUCUCCAGAUUUAUUGAGUCACAUCCCUCUGCUUUAGAUCUCAAUGAUUUUAUAAUAUUAAUAAUUUCGCUUACUGUAACCGUCUUCAAAUGAAAUGUGGCUUCGCUAAAUUUAUGGAAUUCAAAGUAAGUUAUAUAGGAAAAUAGAGUGUAAGGUAAGCCUGGAACAUUUAUGAAGUGGUUGUUUAUUACAUUUGGAUCGUUGAAGUGGGGGGGCAGAUCUAUAUUUUUUUUAGGUAAAAUGCUUGUUUUUAUAUUUUUCCAUAAUAAUUUAGGGUUGUUAAUUUUGUUAUUAAUAUUAUGUUUGUAAUAUGCUGAUUUUUCAUUAAAUAGUGCCUUAUUUACUGUAGAUUUUAAACAUUUAUAAUAUUCUUUUUUACUAUCAGAUUUUGUUUUAUGAUAUUCUGCAGAGGCUUUAUCACGCAGUUUCAUCAUCAAUUUUAUGGUAUCUGUGAUCCACGGAUAGGAGUGAGUCUUUAUAACAGUGGAGAGUAAUGGUGCAUGUGUAUCAAAUAGAGUCAAGACACUGUGAUUGAAUAUGUUAACCAUCUCGUUAACAUCAUCAAGUGUCGAAAUCUGACUCCAUUGUAUAGCUUCUAAGUCUAAGUUAAAGUUUUCUGUAUUAAUGUGUUUUAUAGGUCUAUAAGUCAUAGAAUAUGGUUUUAUUUUCUCAGAUUUAAUAUUAAACUCACAUGUCACAAAACAAUGACCAUACAGUGACCCCACAUGCUCCACAAUAAUAUUUUUAGCUGGUAGAUUUGAACAAAUAACAUCAAUCAGAGUCUGUGAAGUUUCAGUAAAAUGAGUUGGUGCUGACACCAACUGGCUCAGUCCUAGACAUGUUAAAAAUGUUGACAGCUUAUUUGUUUUUAUUUCUUCAGGACUAAGCAUAUUAAUGUUGAAAUCACCAACCAAGACCAAAUAGUCAUGACCGGGGAUUGCAUUAAUGGUGUCUGUGAGAGCGUCUAAAAAAACAUCCACAUCUAACCAAGGGGGACGAUAUGCUGUACCCAAGGCUAUUUUUCUCCCACAAAUUGUUAAGGUCAACCACAUCUGUUCUACUGCUUUAUGUAGUGGGUCUACAGGAUGGUCCCAAGUACGCGCAUUAAUUCCACGUUUAAUAUAAUAACCUACACCACCACCCCGCGAGCGUACCUCUUGUGCUCUGGGUCUAUGGCGUAGAUAAUAUCCCGCCACACUUGGGGCACGUCCUUCCUCGCCUACUCUUAGCCAUGUUUCAUUAAUCGCUAAAACAUCUACACAGUGCCGGCUUAUUGUAGCUACAAAGUUAUCGUGGUUUGUGCCAAGGGAGCCUGCAUUAAACAGCCCAACCCUAAGAAGUUUGUUCGCCAUUUUUCAAUAAUAUUAAUGUAAUAAUUUUGUAUAAUAUUUGUCUAUGUAUAUAAGUGAUAAUAGUGUGCAUAACUGAUGUAAAUAUGUAGAUAAGAACACGGUUAUUAAGAAAUUGUAAAUAAAUAUAAUUAAAAUUACUAAAAUAUAAAUAUGUAGUAUAUAAACCUGUAGUAUUAAUACCAAGAAACUUUAAAUAAAUAUAGCUAAAAUUAUUGAAAUGUAAAUAUGUUUUAUAUAAUCCGAUCAACCCUUCAUGCUUUGUAGACAAUAUUGACAGACACGCAAUGAUAUAUUGAUGUAGCGUAUAAUUAAUUAAUGGUUUUAUACUAUGGCUAAUAGAUGGCGUUAAACUGAAUUGACUAUGUGUAUAAGUAAUAAUAGUGUGAAUAAGUGAUUUAAAUAUGCAGAUAAAAACACGAUUAUUGUGACAUUGUAAAUAAAUAUAGCUAGAACCAUUGAAAUGCAAAUAUGUGUUAUAUAAUCCGAUCGGCACUCCAUGCUUAAUAGACAGAAUUGACAGAUACGCAAUGAAAUAUUGAUAUAAUGUAUAAUUAAUUAAUGAUUUUAUACUAUGGCUAAUAAACGGCGUUAAAUUGAUUAAUACAACAUACAUGGGAGAAGCAUACAAUCUAGCAAACAGUAGCAGCCCCAAAAACCCGAAGCAUGUCCGCUUCCGUUCGUAUAGAGAAGGCCUGUUUCCCAUCGCUUUGUCGCGCAAAAAUACGCCCCUUUUUUGUCCACGAGUAUCGCCAAUGCAGCCUCCGACACUCUUCACGAACUCUGUAGUAUAGUUGGCGAUUAAUGCGCGUCAGCCUCUCGUUGACGUAUAUACGACGUGGCGAUCCGCCAGCGCCCAGGUCGACGCUAGUAAGAGUGC